rnacentral:rRNA from 1 species
GACGAACGCUGGCGGCGUGCUUAACACAUGCAAGUCGAACGGAAAGGCCUUUUCGGAGGUACUCGAGUGGCGAACGGGUGAGUAACACGUGGGUGAUCUGCCCUGCACUCUGGGAUAAGCCUGGGAAACUGGGUCUAAUACCGGAUAGGACCGCACUUUAGUGUGUGUGGUGGAAAGUUUUUUCGGUGUAGGAUGAGCCCGCGGCCUAUCAGCUUGUUGGUGGGGUAAUGGCCUACCAAGGCGGCGACGGGUAGCCGGACUGAGAGGUUGGUCGGCCACAUUGGGACUGAGAUACGGCCCAGACUCCUACGGGAGGCAGCAGUGGGGAAUAUUGCACAAUUGGCGCAAGCCUGAUGCAGCGACGCCGCGUGGGGGAUGACGGCCUUCGGGUUGUAAACUCCUUUCGCCAGGGACGAAGCGUUUUGUGACGGUACCUGGAGAAGAAGCACCGGCUAACUACGUG